AUGAUGUUUGGGAAGUUAGAAUGCACUUCCAUGACAGAGACAACAAUGGAGAGAUCAGUUUGCGUUUCAGACAUAACAUAUUAUAAUUUGGUUGCCCUAAUAGAGACAGAGGGAUAUGGGAUAAAUGAUUUCAUGUAUUUUGUGAGGGAUCUUGGUGUGGGGAUUACAGGAAUGGAUGAAAUUUGUGAUGAUGAUAAGGUGGAUGAAAUGCUUGACCAUAUUGCUAACAAUGAUCAGAAUGUAGUGAACUUGACAGUGGUUAGAGGCACUGAUCCAAGACCUGCAGAUUUGAACUCAGGCUAUCUGGUUGAGGAGCAGGUUCCUUUGAGCCAUAUAGGAGAGAACCCUGUGUAUGUAGUAAAUCCUUCUGGUGUUCUCCUAAGAUCACCAAUAAAAAGUAAAAUACAGAGUCAGCCAGAGCCAUUGCAGUUCUACACCACACAGCAGAUCACAAACCAUGAUAUGGAUACAGAUGCUGCCAUGGAUCAAUGCAAUGCAGCAGAUCAAGAUGAACUGGAGACAUUAAUGGAGUUGAAGAGGAGAACAAAGAUUGCCAAACUUAGGAAACAUAAGAUUGCAGCUGAGCAUGUAAAUAAGGUUAAGCAGAAGCUACCAAUUCUUCUAACUGAAGAUGAUUCAGAUCUGGAUGGAGAUGAGGACUAUCUUCAGAGGCUUAAUGAGAUGAGGAAGCAAAGAGAGGAUCCACUCAUUCAUUUUGAUGGAGACACUGAUGUGGAUGAAGUGUAUGAGGAAGAUGAGGAAGGGCAGCAUGUGGAGGUGGAGCAAGAGGAGCAGGUGGAGCAAGAUGAGCAGGUGGAGCAGCAAGAGGUGCCUAUAAAAAAGAAGAAAGCUAGAAAACGGCCAACAGAGAGGAAUAUGAUGAUGGAGCUGAGGAAGUACAAUUUGUUCUGCCCAAUGGAAGGAAGAGCAGAUCAGUGA
rnacentral:rRNA from 1 species